AUUGACCGCUGGCGGCAGGCCUAACACAUGCAAGUCGAGCGAGCGGCGGACGGGUGAGUAAUGCCUAGGAAUCUGCCUGGUAGUGGGGGAUAACUACUGGAAACGGUAGCUAAUACCGCAUACCAUCGGAUGUUCCCAGAUGGGAUUAGCUAGUAGGUGGGGUAAAGGCUCACCUAGGCGACGAUCCCUAGCUGGUCUGAGAGGAUGACCAGCAAAACGGGAACGGAGACACGGUCCAGACUCCUACGGGAGGCAGCAGUGGGGAAUAUUGCACAAUGGGCGCAAGCCUGAUGCAGCCAUGCCGCGUGUAUGAAGAAGGCCUUCGGGUUGUAAAGUACUUUCAGCGGGGAGGCGUUACCCGCAGAAGAAGCACCGGCGAACUCCGUGCCAGCAGCCGCGGUAAUAC
rnacentral:rRNA from 1 species